CUAGUAACGGCGAGUGAAGAGGAAAGAGCUCAAAGUUGUAACCUAUUUGGCUUAGCCAAAUCGGAUUGUAAACUGGAGAAGUGUUUUAUGGCACACCGGGUAAAGAAGUCCCUUGGAACAGGGCAUCAUAGAGGGUGAGAAUCCCGUGACUUUGCCUGAGAAUAGUUGUCAACUUUAAUACGCUUUCAAAGAGUCAGGUUGUUUGGGAAUGCAGCCUAAAUUGGGUGGUAAAUCUCACCUAAAGCUAAAUAUUGGCGAGAGACCGAUAGCGAACAAGUACCGUGAGGGAAAGAUGAAAAGAACUUUGAAAAGAGAGUUAAACAGUACGUGAAAUUGUUAAAAGGGAACCGUUUGGAGCCAGACCGGCUUUACCGUAAUCAAUCUAGGUUUCGACCUGGAUGCACUUGCGGUAUGUGCCUGCCAACGACAGUUUUUUCUGAGGGAAAAAAUUAAGAGGAAUGUGGCCCCUCGGGGUGUUAUAGCCUUUUAAAAAAUACCUUGGAUUGGACUGAGGAACGCAGCGAAUGCCAUUAGGCAAGAUUGCUGGGCGCUUUAACUGAUAGAAGCUAGAAUUUCUGCCUUGGGUGGUGCUAGUUUCUAAAGGGUAAACUCGUUUAGUAUAUUUUUUAUUCGCUUAGGUUG
rnacentral:rRNA from 1 species